rnacentral:rRNA from 1 species
AUGCCAACGGAUGUGGGUCAUUCUAAGAAGGGGACUUUCAAAUAUUUGAGUGACAGAGUUUGGGACAAAGUAAAGGGUUGGAUGAGCAAAUGCAUGUCUGCGGGGGGUAAGGAUGUGCUAAUCAAGUCGGUAGCUCAGGCUAUCCCGGUGUUCUCUAUGUCAUGCUUUAAGCUGCCUCGAGGCUUGUGUGAUCAUAUCAAAUCCAUCAUAAGGAAAUUUUGGUGGGGCUGCAAGCAGGGUGAACGCAAACCGGCUUGGGUGUCAUGGGAUGUGUUGACACGUCCAAAACACCUAGGCGGGUUGGGAUUCAGAGAUUUGGAGAUUUUCAACCUAGCUUUGUUGUCACGUCAGGCCUGGAGACUCUUGCAAGAACCUCUGAGUUUGAGUGCAAGGAUUUUGAAGGCUGUAUACUACCCUGACAGUUCGAUACUUAAUGCUGAGUUGGGAUCUCGACCUUCUCAGGUUUGGCGAGCUAUCAUGGAGGGGCUGGAUUUGGUAAAGCAAGGAAUUAUUCGCAGGAUCGGUAAUGGACAAACAACGAAAAUAUGGAAUGACAACUGGAUACCGAAGGAGAUGACGCCAUGGCCCAUCACGUCGUUGGUCGCCAAUCCCCCAAGGUUUGUAUCGGAGUUGAUGUCUCCAGCAACAGCCUCAUGGAAUGAGGCUCUAGUCCGGUCAGUUUUCUUGCUGAUAGAUGCGGAUGCUAUUCUGAAGAUCCCGGUAUGCAGGCGUAAUAUAGAGGAUUUCUGGGCUUGGAACCCGGACAAGAAAGGCAAUUUCAGUGUUAGCUCAGCCUACAAGUUUUUGCUCAAGACAAAGUUGCAAAGAGAGGAGUGGUUGUACGGCGGGAGUGGAUCAUCUCAUUCUGAGAGAGAUGAACAAGCCUGGACCUCGUUAUGGAAGUUGAAAAUUCCGUCGAAGGUGCGAAUCUUCCUUUGGAGGCUUGCACAUCAUUCAUUACCCACAAUGGAUGUUUUGAAGAGGCGAAAAAUGUCAGAACGAGAUGUAUGCCCCUUGUGCGGAGGGGAGGAUUCAUGGCGCCAUGCCUUGGUCGCAUGCACGAUGGCCCGUUGUGUUUGGGCGCUGUCGGAUGAAGCACUGGUGCCAAUCAUGUCUGAACACGAGGAAUCCAACGCAAGAAUUUGGUUAUUCGAGCUGAGUGAGAAGAUGGACCAUGCAAGCUUCAUGAGGAUGGUUAUAACGCUGUGGUCAUUAUGGUGUGCUAGGAGGAAGGCUAUAUAUGAAUCGAUUUUUCAGAGCCCUCAACAAACAACGUCCUUUAUAAAUAACUAUAUUGAUGAGCUAGGCCAAGUGAACGCCAAGGGAGUCCAUGAAGGCACUCCUAAUGUUGCACCACCAAGACCGAAGCGGUGGCUUCGCCCGCCGAGUGGCAAUGCAAAGAUUAAUGUCGAUGGGGCUGUGGUGAGAACAUGGAGAGGUGGAGCUGUUGCAGCUCUAUGCCGCGACCAAGACGGACAAUACUUGGGGUCAUCGGUGGUGGUUUACUAUGGGAUCACUGAUCCCUUAACUUUGGUGACUUUUGCAUGCCGCGAGGCCCUUGCUUUGGCGGAAGAUCUCGGAGAGCAGAGGAUCUGCGUGGCCUCGGACUGCCAAGAGGCGGUGAAUGAUAUAAACAGGGGAACAUGA